rnacentral:rRNA from 1 species
UUGACCUCGGAUCAGGUAGGAAUACCCCGCUGAACUUAAGCAUAUCAAUAAGCGGAGGAAAAAGAAACCAACAGGGGAUUGCCUCAGUAACGGCGAAGUGGAAGGCGGCCACCAGCCUCCAAAUUUUGAAAAUCCUGGCCCGCCAAGGUUCCCGAGUUUGUUAAUUUUGUAGGAGGGAUGCCUUUUUGGCCAAGGGUGCCCUUCCCGAAGUUUCCCCUGGAAACCGGGGACCGCCAUAGAAGGGGUUGAAGAAGCCCCCGUUACCGGGUAGGGACCCACCCGAGGCCUCCUGUUAAAGCCUCCUUUCGGACCGAGGCCGAGUUAGUUUGGGAAUUGCCUGCCUCCAAAAUUGGGAAGGGUGGUACGUCCUUCCUAAAGCCUAAUUACCCGCCCAGAAGGACCCGUUAGGGCCACAAAGUAGGAGGUGAUCCAAAAGGAUUGAAAAGCCACUUUGGAAAAGAAGGGUUUAAAAAGUUACGUGAAAAUUUGUUGAAAAGGGGAAGCAUUUAUGACCAGACUUGGGCUUGGUGAAACCUUCCGCGUUCUCGCCGGUGCACUCUGCCAGUCCAGGCCAGCAUCAGUUUGCCCCGGGGGAUAAAGGCGGCGGGAAUGUAUCUCUCUCCGGGGAGUGUUAUAGCCCGUCGUGUAAAUCCCUGGGGCGGACUGAGGAACCCCCUUCGGCACGAUGCGCUAU